rnacentral:rRNA from 1 species
CCUACGGGUGGCAGCAGUGGGGAAUAUUGGGCAAUGGGCGCAAGCCUGACCCAGCAAUGCCGCGUGAAGGAAGAAGGCUUUCGGGUUGUAAACUUCUUUGACAGGGGAAGAGCAGAAGAGGGUACCCUGCAAAAUAGCCACGGCUAACUACGUGCCAGCAGCCGCGGUAAUACGUAGGUGGCAAGCGUUGUCCGGAUUUACUGGGUGUAAAGGGCGUGUAGCCGGGAAGGCAAGUCAGAUGUGAAAGGCGGAGGCUCAACCUCCGAAUUGCAUUUGAAACUGUUUUUCUUGAGUACUGGAGAGGCAGACGGAAUUCCUUGUGUAGCGGUGAAAUGCGUAGAUAUAAGGAGGAACCCCAGUGGCGAAGGCGGUCUACUGGACAGCAACUGACGGUGAGGCGCGAAAGCGUGGGGAGCAAACAGGAUUAGAUACCCGUGUAGUC